ensembl:lncRNA
UAGAGUGCUUCAAUGAAAGGGGUUACAAAGCAAAAAAGCAACACAGGCACUGGUCUGCAGAAAUGUGGAAAAGUGAUACGUUCUGCGUCACUUCAGUAACCUUUGCCGCUCCUUUUGUAUCCUCUCCUCCUUCACUCUUUUCUUUCUUCUCCUCUUCACCCUCUGGCUCCUUCUUUACAGUUUCUUUUGCUGUUGCAUGCUCCCUCUCUUCCUCCUCUCCCUCUUCCUCCUCAUCAAGUUGAAGACUCCCCGAUGAAAACCUCAUCCUGGCUAGUCCAGCGGACCGUACCAUCUUGCCCACCUGAGGGGCAGGGCAGUAAUAUGGAUAGAAAACCUCCGGGUCUGAGUCACUGUAGCUUCCCGCAGUGCUGCCAAUCAUACAUAGUGAACUGGGGCGUUCAGGCAGAGGGGAAGAGUUUAGUGGGAGGUAGGUGGGUCUGGAGGGGCGCGUCAGGUGGGGGUAGUAACCAAGAGGGCGAAACUCAGAAGCAGGGUUAAAGGCAGUGUUUGAACUCCUCGAGAGGUGUAAUUUGACGUCAGGUUGGCUGGCUACACGGCGAGGCAGCCCAGGAAGGAAGUUGGAGUCAUCGCUGUAAUGACCUGCCUCUGUAUGUCCAACGCCCAUGAGUCUUGCACCAUUGCUUCCUGGUUGGUACAUUCUGGCCAAUCCCAGCCCACCUGAACCACUGGAGCGGAGGUUUCUCCUGAUUGGUGAACUAGAUGGCGAAUCGUGACGUACUGGGUAAAAAGAUGGCCGUGUUAUACCAUCCAUUGUCACAUAAUCCCGCCGUUUUGUAUGCGGAAUUCGUUCCAGUGAGGAAACGGCAACAAAUUCCGACAAGUAGGGAUGUCGGUUGAGUGGCGAGCAGCCAGCUAAUGGGAACGAUGGGAGGACAGGAUGAUACUGGUAGGCAGGGCUGUUAGGGUAGAGAAGGACCAGCUGCUGUCCUGCAUCUGGAUGUGGCUGGGGGUUGGGUCGACGUCUAGAUCGGUUUCCAUAGACACCAGCUAACCGCUGGGCUUGGCGCUGUGUCCCGAUUCGUACCCCCCUUGCGUCCUCUACUACAGAUAUCGAAGCAGAUCUCAUCUUCGGUGAGGGUGAAGGCGGUGUUGUCUGGUGGACAGAUGGAGAAAGAGGAGUGACUUGGGAGAGGAGGCGAGGCCUCUGGCUCACCUCAACACAUGAAUGGCUGCGUUUAGCCCCUCUUUCAUUGAUUUCAGUAUCGUUGUCUCGGUGAUGCGGGUCCAACUGAUCCUGGCUGUGUACCACCAGAGCACGACUUGACCGUGGGAAUGGGUGAGAUUGUUCAU